rnacentral:rRNA from 1 species
UGAGUAAUGUCUGGGAAACUGCCUGAUGGAGGGGGAUAACUACUGGAAACGGUAGCUAAUACCGCAUAACGUCGCAAGACCAAAGUGGGGGACCUUCGGGCCUCAUGCCAUCAGAUGUGCCCAGAUGGGAUUAGCUAGUAGGUGAGGUAAUGGCUCACCUAGGCGACGAUCCCUAGCUGGUCUGAGAGGAUGACCAGCCACACUGGAACUGAGACACGGUCCAGACUCCUACGGGAGGCAGCAGUGGGGAAUAUUGCACAAUGGGCGCAAGCCUGAUGCAGCCAUGCCGCGUGUAUGAAGAAGGCCUUCGGGUUGUAAAGUACUUUCAGCGAGGAGGAAGGCAUUAAGGUUAAUAACCUUAGUGAUUGACGUUACUCGCAGAAGAAGCACCGGCUAACUCCGUGCCAGCAGCCGCGGUAAUACGGAGGGUGCAAGCGUUAAUCGGAAUUACUGGGCGUAAAGCGCACGCAGCGGUCUGUCAAGUCGGAUGUGAAAUCCCCGGG